rnacentral:rRNA from 1 species
GAUGAACGCUAGCGGCAGGCUUAAUACAUGCAAGUCGUGGGGCAGCAGGUCUGUAGCAAUACAGAUGCUGGCGACCGGCAGACGGGUGCGUAACCCGUACGCAACCUUCCCGUUACUGGGGAAUAGCCCAGGGAAACUUGGAUUAAUACCCCAUAUUCUAUUGGUUAGGCAUCUGACAGAUAUCAAAGCUUCGGCGGUAACGGAUUGGCGGGCGGUUGAUUAGGUAGUUGGCGGGGUAACGGCCCACCAAGCCUACGAGCAAUAGCUGAUGUGAGAGCAUGAUCAGCCACACGGGAACUGAGACACGGGCCCGACUCCUACGGGAGGCAGCAGUAAGGAAUAUUGGGCAAUGGACGAAAGUCUGACCCAGCCAUGCCGCGUGUAGGAUGAAGGUCCUCUGGAUUGUAAACUUCUUUUAUCCGGGGCGAAAAUCGGUUAUUCUUAGCCGCUUGACAGUACCUGAUGAAUAAGCACCGGCUAACUCCGUGCCAGCCGCCGCCGUAACAC